GCAUUGAUAAUAAAUAUUAAAAAGAAGAAACAACUGUUUACACCCCUUGUUCGACAUUUAAACCUGCCUUAUCCUUAUUGGCCAACAAGGCCGGUGCCCAAAUUAAUUCAUCACUAGUGCAAGAUCAACCAAUCCUAAAUGCCCAAUCUCCCUUUGCAUGAACAACCGAUGGUCCUGAUUGUAUUUUUCUGGCUGAUCAUAACUCAUUAGAGCUUUCAUAACGUCUUUCCCUCGAUUUCACUCGAAACUUCCCUCAUUACCUUCCAAUUGCAGUCGUCAUCUGUCUUCCGAGCCAACUCUUCCACUCUCGGUGGGGCCUCUUCAAUCUAGUAUUUGGCCGAUUCAAACUGCUUCCCUUCUUGAGCUAAACCAUAGGCGACUGCAUUCACUUCCCGAGGUAUAUAACAAAACUCUAUUUCUUCAAAUGUCUCAACUUUGUCUUUACUAGCUCUAAUCACCAUACCUAUUACUGAUUUAUCCUCAUUAGUCGAUUUCAUCUUUCUAAUUACUGUCAGUGCAUCCCCCUCCACCAAAAUCCGUCGAAAACCCAAGUCCUCGGCGAACUGUAAAGCUUGUAAGCAUGCACGCACUUUUACCAUUGUUGGAUCCAAAAUGUGAUCAAUCGGGUAAGUACAUGCACCCAUAAUUAACCCUUCAUAAUUUCUAAUGAGGACUCCUUGUACCGAUUUCUUUGUGGUCUGUUGAAAAGAGGCAUCGAAAUUCACUUUCAUUAUGUGUUCCUAUGGUGGCCUCUAUAAUUUGUCCAUAUCCCUCUGCAUAUUUACUAUGAAACUUUCCAUGCCAUUCGCUCCUGCUAUAUAUGCUUAAAUGAAAGAUGACUCCAUAAGCAUUCUUCUCUAUAUUCUCAUGAUACCUUUUGUUACGAUUAUAUCAUACUGCCCAGAAUGCUAUUGCUACGGUCUUACAUAUUGCUAUAUUUUCCCUUGUAAAAGCAAUUGUUAACCACAUUUUCCAUUCUUGUUCAUUGUUGUUUGUUGAGAAAGCUACCCCAAGCCCUACAUAAUCUGCCCUGUAAAAGAGCAAUCGUGAAACUCAUGCUUAACUGUCUCUUCCCUUGCUUCACAAAUAGGACACUGGCUCACCACUACAAUCCUUCUGUUUUGUAAUACCUUUAAAAUAGGCAUGUAACUAUUUACUAUUCUCUGCAGUGUAAUUUUUAUUUUGGUAACAGCCUGUAAAUUCCAACGCUUAGUGUAGAAAACUUUGGGUAGUGUAUUCUGUAAUGCUCCAUCAUAAUUUAGAAUGUCUGUAUCCUUGGUCAUAAUCCACUUGUACCCACUUUUCACUGUAUAUACCCACUAUUGUCGCCUUUCCAUACUCGCUCAUAUACUUGCACGCUAUUGGAUAACAUAAUUGCCAAGAUCCUCUGCACAUCAUCUUCUUCAAACUGACUACGAACUACGUCUACUUUCUAGUUACACUCAGUUGCAUUGAUUAGAUUUGAUAUUGUUGUGUAACCAAUAUUGAUUCUUUCCACUUGUACCCUCCCUUGGCCAAGUUCUGGAAACCAGACAUCAUUCCAGAUGUUAAUUUUGGUUCGAUCCCCUACUCUCCAACCAGAACCCUACUUUAGCAACUUCCGUUCGCUCUAAAUACUCUUCCAAGUAAAAGAAAGGUAAGAACCCAAAUUAGCCAUCAUGAAAUCCCCACUUGGAUAAUACUUUUCUUUCAUUACUCUUGCUAACAAACUGUUUAGAUUCGCGACUAACCUCUAACCCUGUUUUGCUAACUAAGCCACAUUAAACUUAGCUAAAUCCCUAAAUCCCAAUACCAUGCAUCUUUAGCCUACAUACUAAUUUCCACUGACACUAAUGAAUCCCUUUAUUGGUAUUAACAUCACGCCACCAAAAUCUAGAAAUUAAGUUCUCAAACUCAUGACAUGUAUAACCUAGUAAUAAAAAAUAUUGCAUUGCAUAGAUUGGUAUUGCGUGCAAAAUGGGCUUAAUAAAUACUUCCUUUCCUUCGGUCAAGAGUUGUCUUGUACUUCAAGUCUCCAUCCUCCUAAUCAAUUUCUCUUUAAGCCCUACAAAAGCAUCUCUCUUCCGACAUCCUACCAUAGUUGACAACCCAAGAUAUUUUUCAGGAUUGUUAGAAAUCCUUACUCCAAGUACCCUACCAAUUUGAUCUUGCAUCUCAACCAACACAUUUCCACUAAAAUAAAUAAGGGGCUUAUCAAAAUUAACGAGCUGGCCUAACACCCUUUCAUACUACUUCACAAUCCUCUUAACUGCAUUUGCCCCUUCUUCAUUUGCUUUGGCAAACAAUAUAUUAUUAUCUGCAAAAAAUAAGUGUGUUACCUUUAAUAUGCUUCGUCCCACCUUUGGCCCCCUAAUCAAACCAUCAUUUUUUGCUAGAUUAAGAAUAGGUUGGGCUUAACGAAUCUCUUUGUCUCAACCCCCUAGAAGGUUGAAACACCUUUCUUUGAACCCCAUUGGGCACCAUAGAAUAAGACACCAAUGUUAUACACCUUAUUACCAAAUUAAUCCACUCCAUGCAAAACCCCAUUUAUGUCAUCAUUCUCUCCAGAAAAAAUCAUUCCACUCGAUCAUAAGCCUUACUCAUGUCUAACUUUAAAGCAAAAUACCCUUUAGAUUCCAUCAUUAUUAUUUUUUAAAGAAUGAAAAAAAAGAAUGUAGCAGUUCAUAUGCAAUCAAAAUGUUAGUGGUACUUUGUCCUCUCGACACAAAAGCACAUUAGACUUCAUCAAUACAAAUGUUCAAUACAUGUCAAAAUCUAGUGACCACCACUUUAGAGAUUAUCUUAUAUAGCACAUUACAAAGACUAAUUGGUCGAAAUUGAGUCAUAUUAGAUAGCAUAUUAACCUUUGGUAUAAGAAUAAUAUUUGUAUGAUUAAUCUUACUCUUCUCUAUUAUUCAAAACAUCAAUGCAAAAUUUUGAAAUAUCCCCUUUAAUGAUGUCAGUACUUUUGAUAAAAAAGAACUAGAAAACCAUUCGAACCUAAAGCUUUCAGUGGAGCCAUACACUUAAUUGCAUCAAAGAAUUCCUCAACCUUGAACUCUACUACUAUAUCUUUAUUCAUGCUUUCCAUAACACAUUGUCGGACCCCCGUUAAAACGUGACCCCAGUCUUAUACCUCACUAGUCGUAAACAAAUUCUUAAAGUAAGAUGUUGCCAUUCCUAUCAUCCCCUUUUCAUCCUUAACCCAUUCUCUAUUCCUAUCAUCCGUUAAAACUUACCUCCUGCACCCUCUUUACUUCCUCUUUAAAAUCUUCCUUUAAAACCCAAUUUGCAUUAAACCGAGAUCGAUGUUGCUUUGUCACCCACCUAUUUUUACUCAUGUCGUCUGUAUUCGCCAAUAUUGGGCAAUGAUCUGAUAUGGAGUGAAUAAGAUGCUUAACGUAAUAACCAGGAAAGAUACUUUACCAUUUCGGAUUAGCCAUUCCCAAAUCCAACCUUUCCUCUAUAUCAUUCUCUAGAAAAUGACCUCUUUUCCAUGUAAAGCACUGACCAGAAAAACCCAAAUAAGCAAGUUGACAAUCCUCUAAUACCAUCCGAAAAGCCAACAUAUUAUUCUCAUUUCGAACAUGUCCCCCUCUAUUAUCAAAAGAUAAAAUCAUUUCAUUAAAAUCCCCUAUAACUAACCACGAUAAUGAGCUAUUACCAUUUAACUAACAAACCAAAUCCUACGACUCCUUCCGACACCUUUCAUCUGAUGCACCAUAAAAAUCAUUCAAUCUCUAUGAAAUCAUCCCCUCACCUUUACAUACUUCCACAUCAAUGUGCGACUUCGAGUAGCUCCUUAGUUGAACAUUAUAGUCCCUUGUCCAACCUAAUGACAAACCUCCUCGCAUUCCGACGGCUUCAACCUUAAUUUCAUUGAUAAACCUGCAUUUCUUUCUGACCCUUUCCAUUCUCCUUGCACUUAAUUUUUUCUCUAUAAGAAACAAGAGAUGGGGAUUAAUAUGUCUUAGCUUAACUGUGGCUGCCAAUAUUUCAGAAGGAAUUCCCAAAUCUGUUGAAUCAACAUUACUAGAAACAACCAAAUUUACUUAAUUUAUUAUUUUCCUUUUCUUACUAUCCACUAUUUCAAUUGGACUAUCCUCCAUAUCCGAUACUAGUUCUAUCUGCUCAUCUCUAUCUAACCCAGAUGUUGACCCAGAUUUUCUAGCCUAGCUAAAACACUCAUGAUCAAAUUACAGUUAUUCCCUAACUUUUGUAUUUGGAUAAAGUUAACUUUUCCCACCCCCUAUCUGAUAAGACCAACGUGUUUGGAUAUCUCCAAAAUUCGUCCCUCCCUUAUCAACAUCCACUUCUACUCCUAUCGGAACGCUUCCAUAACCAUUACCCCUCAAACACUUACACACCUUCGACAAGGCCCUCCUAGGCGCUACCCUUAACGAAAUAUCCCAAUCAAGAUCCACCUCUUAUGAUUUUAGUGUUAAUCUAAUUGGGCAAAAACCUUCACCAUGCCCCAACUUCCCACACAGAAAACAAAGUAGUGGUAGUUUUUCAUAUUGGAAAUGUAACAGCCCGAUUUUCAAUGGUGAUGGAAUAGUGGUUCGGGACCACAAAUUUCCAUUGUAUUGACUCUUAAAUAUUAUUUUUAGAAUAUUUAUGAAGUCAUUAGAGUCUUAAUAAAAUUUGGUUCAGAAAUAUUAAUGUUUAGAUAAAUAAUUAAAGAAAAAAUAACUAAAUUGUCAAAGAUGCAACAUAUAGUAAUUAUAGCGUUUAAGUGAUCAAAUAGCUUAUUAGUUAAAUGAGGAAGGACCUAAGAGGUAAUUUAACCUCAGUUAAUUUGUUUGGACGGCACUAGCAUUAAAAAGGAUAGAAAUGUUAAACAUUUGAUGGCAAUUUUGUAAUUAUAAUAAAAUUAAAACAAAAUUAAGUAAAGAAAAGAAAAGAGAGUUUUUUCAUUUUUAUUUCCUCCAUAGACGAAUCUAUCAAAAACCAAGCUUGGAGAAUCGGUCAAGCUAAUUUCUUUGCAUGUGAGUGAUUCUCUUACCCGUUUCUUAUAAUUUUUAUAUUUUUGAGAUUGUUGCAACUAGGUCCAAUUAUCCCGUACCUUCGUUUUUAAUUCUAUUAAAAAAUUUUGAAGUUUUCAUUGAUAAAUCUUGAAUGUUUUUUAUGAAUACCAUGUAUUUGAAGUUUUUAUUCUGCUGUUUUAUGAUUUUGUAAAGUGAUUUUGGUUAGAUUUUGAUUUUAGGAUUAAAUUGUGAAAAUAUCGAAAUUUUAAGGUUUGAUAGUGAAUUUAAUGAUUCAUUAGGGACAAUUUAAUGGUCUAGUAUAUUUGGAUGAAAUAUUUACUUAAGAAAAAUGGUUAAUUUGAUGAAUUUUGGGUUAAGGGACUAAAUUACAAAAAUUAUCAACGUUUGGAAUAAUUGUGUAAAUUCAAAAAAUAAAAGUGUAACAGCCAAUUUUAAGUGAAACCGGAAUAGUGGUUUCGGGACUACAAAUUUGAGUUAAAAAGAAAAUUUAUUUUAAUAUUAUUGUAUGGUCAGCAUUAUGAUAGGAAUGAUGUAUGAAAAUUUCGAUAAAAAAAUUUUAUCGAUUUCAUGUUUAAUUAUAGAAAGGAUCAAAUUGCGUGAAAUGCAAAAGUUGAAUUCUAAGAGCUAGAAAGAUCAAAUAGCUAUGGAAUUCAAAAUUUGAGAUCCUUAUAUGAAAUUAGACCAUUAAGUGUAGUUAGUAGAUAAGCAUGCUUAGUCAUCUACGGAAAAUUAAAUAAAGAAAAUGACUCAAUUAGAAAGAUGAAAUAAUAAAAGAUAAUAUUUUAAUUAAAUAGAAAAUAUCAUCAUUUUAUAUCUUCUCCAAAAUUUUCUAUGGAAACCCUAAAUAAGAGAGAGAAAUUCAAGCAAGCUUAAUUGUGUAAGUAAUCAUGUCCAGUUUUUAGUAAUUUUUAUAUUUUUGAGAUCGUAGUAAUCUAAUCUACCUAUUUUGGGGAUUAAUUUAUAAAGUUAUUAAAGUAUUAAAAGUUUUCCAUUGAUGAGUAUGCUGAAAAUUUGAAAUUUAUGAUAGAAAAUGAAAGGUUGUUAAUAGAUAAACAACUUCUGUAAAGGAAAUUUUCAUGAAAUUAUGAUUUAGCAAAUUUCUAAAUUUUAUGAAUUGCAUGGGCUGUAAAUGCUAUAUGAAAAAUUCAUCUAGGCUUGGAAUAAGAAUUAAAUUGUAUGAAUUUCAUUUUCUGAGCCUAAGGAUGAAAUUAGAAUUAAUUAAAAGUAUAGGGGAAAAUGAUACUUUUGCCGAAAAUGUAACUUGGAUUGAAUUGAAUAUGAGAUGUGUUAAAUUGAUGUUAAAUUCAUUUAUAUAGAUCCAAAAAGAUCAAAUAAAGAGUUAGAUCGAGGAAAAGAAAAAAUAUCGGAUUAGUAGAUUUUCGUAUACGAGCAAGUGACGAGGUAAGUUCAUGUAACUAAAAUGUAAGUUUAUAUGUUUAAAUUGAAUGUUAUGAUUGUGAAAUGUAUGAUUGCCAUGUAUAAACAUUAAUCACAUAUCCGAUAAUUUCCGACAAGUGCUAAGUCCUCGUUUGAAUAAAUGAAAUUCGAUUGAUACAGGAUUUCCCUUAUUGGUUGUGGUCUUGCAUAUGUUGCAGACAGACCAUAGCUCUUACGAGCAUUCUGUUAUAAACCCUCUCGAGCUUCCCAUUACAUGGUUCCUACGAGCAUCCCGAUCAGUUUGAUCCUGCAUGUGUUGCAGACAUACCACAGCUCUUUGUGAGCGUUCUGUUAUAUGAUCGGUAUUGAUCCUAGAUGUAUUGUGGACAUACCGCAGCUCUUUAUAAGCGUCCUGAUAUAGGCUAUUUGUGAGCUUCCUAAUAUGACUCGCUUGAACUUCCUGUUAUAUGGCUAUCUAGAGCUCCCUGAUAAUAUCUCUUCAGAGUUAGCUGUUAAGCUCAAUGAGUUUCUUGUUUUAAACUCUUAUGAGGUUCCUGUUCUAGCCCAGAUAAACUUCCUGUUACAUGGCUCACAUGAACAUUCUGUUAUAUGUCUCGAGAGAGUGCUUCCUGAUUAUGUGUCCUAAUGGGUACCCCUGAAUAUAAGUUGAUGGAUUACAAUUUUGUAAACUUCGAGUGUACUACAUGUGUAUCUAUUGAUAUUUCAAAUAAAUUCAACGAGUAAAGUUCUGACAUGGUUAAACUAAACUUAAGAUGAUUUGUUAUAGAAAUGUACAUGUUAUAUGGAAAUAAGAUAUGAAAAUCAUAUGUCUAUGAAAGUUAUUAUAUAAUGAGCUCAUCCUUGAUUUUUUAUGUUUACAUGUAAUACAUGACUAACAAGUUUCUUGAUGUUUAGGCAAAUUGAUGGUUUGGUCAUGUGUCUCCUGCAACUUAAAAAUUUGAGAAAUAGAAUACUUCGAAUUGCUCACACGGGCAGAGACACGGGCGUUUGUCUCAGUUGUGUGUGACACACGGCCUAGCACACAAGCGUGUAACUUGGCCGUGUGACCCCUGCACUUAAUUUUCAAAAAUUAAAUUGUCCACAUGGCCUAACACAUGGGUGUGUGGCUAGCCGUGUGACCUAAGUCAAAGAGUUACAUGGGUAUGGACACAGGCUGGGACACGGUCGUGUGCCUCACAUCGAAUGCCCACACGGCCUGACCACACAGGCGUGUGUCCCCUAUACUUUGGAAAAAUUUUGAGAUUUUGCGAAAAAUUUCCUGAGUUCCCGAUUUAGUCUCGAUUUGUUUCAAAUGCAUAAAUUGGACCUCGAGGGUUCAUUUAAGGGACAACAUGAUUGGAUAUGAUUAAUUUUGGAUAUGAAUAGUAAAUAACAUGAAUUAAUUGUAUUUAUUCUGUAAAUUUCGAUAAUGCUCCGUAACUUUAUUCCGGCGACCGAUAUGGGUUAGGGGUGUUACAAAAAGGGUAUUAAUUGUAAAAUGGAUUGGAAUGUAAAAUAUAAGUUGAUAAUUUAGGAAUUUUAUAUUUUAGAUCAAAAUCUCAUAGAUGCUCGUAGAAAAAAAUUACGAAAUAGUCCUUAAACUUUUGCAACUACUAUAAUUCAAUUUAGGUAAGUUUGUACGGUUUAAAAUUUAAUAUUUAUAUGAAUUGUUGAAUAGUAUAACAUGACACAAUAUAUAUAUUCCAUUGUUGAUAAUGAAUGAUUAUUUGAGAUAUGAUAUUGAAUUUGAUGUUUGAAUUGGAUUGAACGCGGUAUAAAAUACAGUCGUGAUAUGGUUGUUGUGGGGGAUUAGAGUGGAGAUGGUUUUGGAGUGAUGUAUAUAUAUUUACCGAGUAAACCAAGAUUUAACAUUUAUUGCGAACUCGUGUUAUACACUCUGUUUGGUGUGUUUCGGGUGAACUAGCUCUUAUGAGUAUUGGUGUGUUUCGGAGGGAUUGGCUCAUGUGAGCAUCUGGUAUUUUUUGGAUGGACUGACGAUGUACUCCUAUCCGUAAGUCAUUUUUCGAAUUGGAAAUCUUGGUAAGGUAAUUCAUUUAAUGAAUUUGAUAGAUUUAAUAUAUACUUGAGUAUUGAAUUGAACGUCUAUAAUUUAUCGGUUGAGAUUGUGGAUGACAGGGAACCUUCAUGGUUGAAUUGUUAUUGUUUGAAUUAUUGUAUUUAUUUCGGUAAGAUUUAUCAUUUUAAUACGUCGAACUAACUAAGCUUGGUUGAGCUUACUUGUGUUAUUUAAUGUUCUUGUAGAUACUCGGAAGGUUAGAUGAUCAGAUAGCACUCAAGUCACACUAUCCAACAUAAUUUGACAAUUUUUGAAAUAUUUAUUUCAGAUUAUAUGGCAUGUAAUAGGAUUGAAUGUUGAUAUUAAUGUUUUGGAUAUGUAAAUAGUUAAGUAUGAUCUUGAAUGUAUUAGUUGUUUUGGUUGAUACUCCUUUUUAGUACUUUUGGUGCCUUAUUAGUAUAUGUUAAUGUGGCUAUAUUUUAAUGCUUGUUUGAAUGACCAUAAUGGUUUGUGAUGAAUUGGUUUCAAUAUGAUCAAGAAAUGGUAUGUUUUUGAGAUGGUAUUGAACUAGAUAUGUAUGAUUGAAAUGUGAUAAGGUAUAUAUGUUUAAGUAUGUUUGAAUGUUUGCAAUUGAG
rnacentral:lncRNA from 1 species